CCCAAAGGCAGACGUUGCACGUGAAAAACUGUGUUUUUCAGAUCUUUACAUGCACAAGUUUGGUUUCCUUUAUGAUGAUUACAGUGCCUUUUUGUUUUCACUACGGGAGCUCUUUGGAUGUGAAGCACACUGUGCUAGCGGUGGGUUAAUUCACCCCAUUGCACCCAACAAGGACGGGAGCUGAGCACCCUCCAGACCCACAGCCUCCGAAUGUUCUUCAGAUUAUAUUUCCGCUGCCUAAAAUGCAUCAGCAGCCAUGCUCAUUUCCAGAACGGCUCUCUGAAGUACAAUGUCCUUUCCAGAGCCUGGACAAUUCCCCUCUGAGCUGUCCUCCAGCACUUACUAACUUAAACUUAAUAGAAACCGCAGGCUCCCAGUGGCAGCUGUCAUCACAGCAACGAAGUGAUUAGAUCUGCUCUGUUGCCUAAUCACAGGACGAGAUGUGGCAUGCAUUCCUGCAAUCUGCUUAAGUACUCCCUAUCCGGAUCCUCUGAUUUCAAGGAUAGUCUUUGGGAAAUUAUCUUUAGAGUAAAUCAUUUUUUUUUUUUUAAGUGCACUUGAUUAAAGCGAGGCAUCUAUCAUAUCGCAGAAUUAUUGAUUAUGAUAAGCACUUUGAACUUACCCAGUGUUUUUCAUCUCAGAAUCUCCUAAUAUUUUGUUGCAAGUGGAAAGGAUUAUUAGUCCCACUGCAGAUUGAAAACUUGGAGGAAAACUGAGACUCUACAUGAUUCACUGAGGAUACUCUAUCACAUGGUGGAGCAGGACCAGUGAGCUCAUGGCUUUACUGUCCUUGAGGGGGUCUACAAGUGAGAGGCCUUUUGUUGCAUUUGUUUAGGAUGGAAACCAGAAGUCUUCCCUGCAGAUUUUGGGUUCAACACAGUUUCCAGUGUGAUUCUGCACCUGUUUUCUGCUCGAGAACCACUGCCUUCUGUACAGGAACCGGGAAAGGAACUAAGUAUUACAAGGGGGAAGGCAUUUAAAAAGACUGUAUACAUCUCACUCAUCACUCAUACUGAUGAUCUUACUUGACCAUCAGUAUAUGCUUCUGUUGAGAUAUGUCUACCUUCGUGUCAAGUUUUGGGGAUGGAAAGCUAAAUCUUCUCCCUAACCAGUGCCUGUCUUAAUGCCUUUCAGCAACUGUGUAUUUACCUACUUGAAGAUGUGCUGCAGAGCUGUGGGCCUGUAUCCAUCUUCUGCGCCUGUUCUGGUCUGGGACAUGUGGUGUGACCAGAAUUGGACAUCCAAUCCCUUCCUUGUCCCAGCACCUCUUCUUUUAAGUGAGGUUUGGCUGGAGGUGCUGCUCACAUAGCCACAUUCUGCGUACAUUCUCACAGCAGACAAGAUAACGGUUAUCACUGGAGCAUACACAGCUCCACACAUCAGUAGAGGCCCUUCACACCAGAAAAGGGAUUCAGUGGUUCCUACUGCUUUAUCUCAUCUGCACAUCCCUCCUACUUUUCCAUCUGUUUCACAUCCCGUAGUCAGGAGCUGAAGAAAGUAAGUAGCAUUCUAACAAAGUUGGAUCAGAAGAGAAAUGUGGUAAAAUUUAUAAGAUCCGUGUAGAUGGUUAAAAGUUGGUUCAAAAGAAGUUAUUUAAAAUUAUCCCCACACUUGGGGAAGCUGGAAAGGGUCACUUAUUUCCCCCCCACUCCAUGCAAUUUUUGGUCAAGUACCAGGAAGCCACAAAACUGAACAAAAAAUCCAGUGGUCAAAAGCAAAGGGCAGUGACUGCAACUGCACUGUCCUCUCCUCCUCUGGACUGGUGGGCCCUCCUGAUGGCUCGACAGAGAUCAGCCACGGUCCUCGCUGCUCUUCUCUGGAUCAAGGGAUCUUCCUGUGCUGAAACCCAAACCAGGACUUUAAAUAAAAGAAAAAUCGGGCUUUGGGGCGUGCCUACUACCUAUAGUAAGAAAAAACCAAACAAACAUAGCAGCAUGUGCUACAGAGAAACAAGGAACUAAAAGCAUGGCAUACCAGAACUUGUUUCACUUACGCAAUUCUGUUUGAAAACGUUCUGGCUUGAGCCAAGGGGUGAGUGAU
ensembl:lncRNA